GCACCCGUAGCUCAGUGGUAGAGCAUCACUCUUAUAAAGUGGGGGUCCUUGGUUCGAUCCCAAGCGGGUGCA
rnacentral:tRNA from 1 species